AAUAGAUACCCGGGUAGUCCACGCCGUAAACGAUGGGUACUAGAUGUUGCGGGAAUUGACCCCCUGCAGUGUCGCAGCUAACGCAUUAAGUACCCCGCCUGGGAAGUACGGCCGCAAGGUUAAAACUCAAAGGAAUUGACGGAGGCCCGCACAAGCGGUGGAGCAUGUGGUUUAAUUCGAUGCAACGCGAAGAACCUUACCUGGGUUUGACAUCCCUUGACCGCCCUAGAGAUAGGGCUUUGUAGCAAUACACAAGGAGACAGGUGCUGCAUGGCUGUCGUCAGCUCGUAUCGUGAGAUGUCGGGUUAAGUCCCUUAACGAGCGCAACCCUUAUGCUUAGUUGCCACCAUUUAGUUGGGCACUCUAAGCAGACUGCCGGUGUUAAACCGGAGGAAGGUGGGGAUGGACGUCAAGUCCCCAUGGCCUUUAUAUCCAGGGCUACACACGUGCUACAAUGGCUGAUACAAAGGGUUGCCAACCCGCAAGGGGGAGCUAAUCUCAGAAAAGUCAGUCUUAGUUCGGAUCGAAGUCUGCAAUUCGACUUCGU
rnacentral:rRNA from 1 species